CCUACGGGGGACAGCAGUGGGGAAUAUUGCACAAUGGGGGAAACCCUGAUGCAGCGACGCCGCGUGAAGGAAGAAGGCUUUCGGGUUGUACACUUCUUUUCUCAGGGACGAAGCAAGUGACGGUACCUGAGGAAUAAGCCACGGCUAACUACGUGCCAGCAGCCGCGGUAAUACGUAGGUGGCAAGCGUUAUCCGGAUUUACUGGGUGUAAAGGGCGUGUAGGCGGGACUGCAAGUCAGAUGUGAAAACCACGGGCUCAACCUGUGGCCUGCAUUUGAAACUGUAGUUCUUGAGUACUGGAGAGGCAGACGGAAUGCCUAGUGUAGCGGUGAAAUGCGUAGAUAUUAGGAGGAACACCAGUGGCGAAGGCGGCUUACCAAACUAUAUCUGACGUUGAGGCACGAAAGCGUGGGUAGCAAACAGGAUUAGAUACCCCAGUAGUC
rnacentral:rRNA from 1 species